GGGUUGGUGGACCGGGAGAAGGGGCUAGUCUAUAAGCAGCGCGACCUCCGGAAGAGUUGAUUUUAGUUUUGCGCGUAGUUUGGAAAAGUUUGUUUGUUUUUUUUUUUGGUCGUAACUUUGAUGCCGCGCAAAAGUUUGAAUGUCUCCGUGGCCCUCCUCACGGCACUCUCUCUCGGUGCUUCUUCGUAUUUCUUUGUUUUCUGCGUCUUUCUUUGCUGCUCUCCGUGUCUUUCUCUGCGUUUCUCCGUCUCUGUCCGUUAAGUUCUCAACAAAAUGAGGUUGCCCUCUGGGUCUGGGCCGCUUUUCGCCGCUUGGGCGAGAGAAUUGCAAUAAAAGUCGUCUGUCUCAGCGAGGCGGCGGUGUAGUCCGGACGUCCAAAACCCGACUGCUGGAUGCGUUUUGGGGUAAUAAAAUUUUACAUCGGCAGCAGCGCGACCAGCUCGGUUGGCGUCGGCGCUGGCGGAAGCAGCGGUGUUAGCGGCGUGCGGCAGCAGCAACAAGAACAACAACAACAAACAACAAAAAACGACGAACCAACGGAAUGGUCGAACGAGCGCAUCGGAACACUUUGGAGCCUGCCUGCCAGCCUGUCCGGGGGAUUCCCAGCUAAUCUGCUGCUUCUGCUUUUCCUCUUCCUUUUUGCUGCUGCUGCUGCUGCUUCUUCUUAGUGAUUGCACUCGGACACAGACACACACACACACACACACACACAAAAGUACACCAGCACACACUUCGGCUUCGCCUACAAUUCGUUUAAGUUGGCGAGGGGGUUGGUUGGUCCACGGUCCACGGUCCACGGUCCACGGUUCUCGUGUGUGUUUCGGGUCGUGUCGGUUUUUGGUUCCGUGGUGUUCCUUUCUAUGCUGUUCCGCUUCGUUUUUGCCGUCGCGUCGCGUACCGUUACUCUCUCUUUUUGUGGCCCAGGAGGAAAGCCGACAACGUGCGUGUCUACCUGUUCUAAGUUCGC
rnacentral:lncRNA from 1 species